rnacentral:rRNA from 1 species
AUUGAACGCUGGCGGCAUGCCUUACACAUGCAAGUCGAACGGUAACAGGUCUUCGGAUGCUGACGAGUGGCGAACGGGUGAGUAAUACAUCGGAACGUGCCCGAUCGUGGGGGAUAACGGAGCGAAAGCUUUGCUAAUACCGCAUACGAUCUACGGAUGAAAGCAGGGGACCGCAAGGCCUUGCGCGGACGGAGCGGCCGAUGGCAGAUUAGGUAGUUGGUGGGAUAAAAGCUUACCAAGCCGACGGUCUGUAGCUGGUCUGAGAGGACGACCAGCCACACUGGGACUGAGACACGGCCCAGACUCCUACGGGAGGCAGCAGUGGGGAAUUUUGGACAAUGGGCGCAAGCCUGAUCCAGCCAUGCCGCGUGCAGGAUGAAGGUCUUCGGGUUGUAAACUGCUUUUGUACGGAACGAAACGGCUCUUUCUAAUAAAGAGGGCUAAUGACGGUACCGUAAGAAUAAGCACCGGCUAACUACGUGCCAGCCGCCGCCGUAAGAC